rnacentral:rRNA from 1 species
AUGGAGGACUGUGCAGCCACCCCUGUUCGCCGCCCUGCCGACCCCUCUUCCCCAUCCCCAACCCCAUCUCCCUUAUCUCUGCGCCAGUGGCGCCCAGCGGCGCAGCGCAACCUGCGCAACCAGUGGUCGCGCCUGCUUGCCGCCAAGACCCGGUGGCUGGACGCCGCCGCCAGCGGCCGCUCCCAUGCCGCCACGCUCGUCAACGCCUACCUCUCCCGCAGUUACAUGCCAGGGAUGGAUUUGGGGGUGCUCAAGGACAUGCCCAGGAUCCGCGACAGGGCGAGCGCCAAAUUGACCCACAAGGAGGUGCAAUGCCGCGAGAUGCUUCUAUCAGCCUACAAGGAGAUGGUCUGUGCCAUGUCCGACUUGGUUAAAGCUUCUCAUGCCAUGCGGUGUUUCUCCAAAGUAUCUUCUGGUAGCCCACUAGUCCGAUUUACUGAUCGGCAGGAUGAUUUGAAUGAUUUAGGGGAUGGUGGAGGAGCUCCAGUAUACAGAUGGAUCUCCAUGUUAGAAUUUGAAAACCUCGCCAAAGAGCUUGUUGAGAUGUUUGUUUCAGAGCUACGAUUGAAGAGACUGAUUGUCUUGGACCUCCUGUCAAUUAACUUAAAAGAAGGUGCAGAUCCUUCAUUAGAAUGGUCAGAUGAGUUAUAUGACGGGGAAUUCAACGAAUUUCAGAGGAUUGGCCUGGGGUCUGGAGACAGCUUCCCACUACCUGAGAAUUGGAAGGCUGAUGUCUUACAGGCACGGCGACCUGGACAUACCCCAUCCCAUGAGGUUUUACAGGUUUAUUUAACCUCUUGGCUUGCUAAUGUGAACAUCAAGACGAGUAGAAUUGACGAAAUAUUUGAGCUUGUUGAGGAAGAGAUGCAGAUCAAAUUGCGUUGA